CUUCCAGGACUCUGUCUGCUUUUGGGGUGGAAGUGCCCUGCCAAAAACUCCAGCUCUCCAUGCUGGCUGUGUGGCCAGCAUACCUCCUGCCUUUUCAACGAUUCCUCUGCCCUGGAUAGAGAGCGGUGUCUCAUAACAGUUUGGAAACUACAAAAGUUUCCCUGGCAGGAUGAAUGAUUGACUCGGCAACAUGUUCUUGCCUUUUGGAGUUGCCCUCCAAUUUUUCCAGGCUUGAUUCUGUAAAUCAUUUCAUCUUGUAAAAAUACUGGGCUGUGAGCACGGAUGAUCUCAAAGAUGAGGAAACAGAAGCUGGGAUAUGUGAGUAAACAUUUCCAAGGUCCUGCAGCUAAUCAAUGGUUGACAACUUCUUUCCUCUGCCUAUGUUGCCAUCCAUGUCAUGGUUUGUGUCAAGACUCUAGGAGAAGUCUACCAUCAGCACCACAGCUACUGUGCACAAAUCCAGAAUGCCAGACUGAAGUCAGAAGGAAAGAUGAUGCAGCUCAUUGCUGAUGCUGAGAUCCAACGUCCAGUGCCUGAGUACCCCUGGAUUCUGAGCACUAGGGGCUGGACUGUGGAGACCAUCAGUUCAUAACAUCCUGUCCCUGCUCCCUGCUGUAGAUGACUGAGACCAGGGUUCUUAAACAAGGGAGAAGCACUCUCAUACCCCUAGAACAAGAUGAACAAAAGAAGGAGGAAAAAUCUUGACCUCCGUAAGAUCCAGGAUGGCACGUGCAAGGCACUGACACAGCAUCUGCCGGCAUCACUGACUCUCCUGGACCCCAGAAGCCCAGUUCCCCAGGCUCUGAAACCCUGCAGCAAUGAAAAGGAAGCACAGGCAAACCAUAAGGAAGAUAAUUUUUCUACUAAAAAAUAAAUAGAAAUGCAUCCUUAGAGGCAGGUUUCAUGAGGACACAGAGAAUCCGGUUUUGUGUGUGCCUGAUUUCGUUUUUCUGUCAAAGAGAUACAAAACAAUCAACUGAGUUAUCUUGAACUUACAAAGAUUAAAAAUAAUCAAUUCCUGUUACUAUUUUCAAUUUUUCCCCCAUUUUACUUCUUUAGGUAUGAAGAAAUGUAGCCUAUUAAAACCUGGAUUAAUAAAAACCUUUCA
rnacentral:lncRNA from 1 species